GUGCCAGCAGCCGCGGUAAGACGAACCGUGCGAACGUUGUUCGGAAUCACUGGGCUUAAAGGGCGCGUAGGCGGGCUGCCAAGUCCGGGGUGAAAUCCUGCGGCUUAACCGCGGAACUGCCCCGGAUACUGGCGGCCUCGAGUGGGGUAGGGGCGUGCGGAACUCUGGGUGGAGCGGUGAAAUGCGUUGAUAUCCAGAGGAACUCCGGUGGCGAAGGCGGCACGCUGGACCCCUCCUGACGCUGAGGCGCGAAAGCCAGGGGAGCGAACGGGAUUAGAUACCCCUGUAGUCC
rnacentral:rRNA from 1 species